CAAAGCAUAGUUAAUUAGUAUAACAUUUCGUUUACGUUGAGAAGGAACCGUGCAAAUCGGAUUGUUUUGA
rnacentral:tRNA from 1 species